GAUGAACGCUGGCGGCGUGCCUAAUACAUGCAAGUCGAGCGAACAGACGAGGAGCUUGCUCCUUUGACGUUAGCGGCGGACGGGUGAGUAACACGUAGGUAACCUACCUAUAAGACUGGGAUAACUUCGGGAAACCGGAGCUAAUCCCGGAUAAUAUUUCGAACCGCAUGGUUCUAUAGUGAAAGAUGGCUUUGCUAUCACUUAUAGAUGGACCUGCGCCGUAUUAGCUAGUUGGUAAGGUAACGGCUUACCAAGGCAACGAUACGUAGCCGACCUGAGAGGGUGAUCGGCCACACUGGAACUGAGACACGGUCCAGACUCCUAAGGGAGGCAGCAGUAGGGAAUCUUCCGCAAUGGGCGAAAGCCUGACGGAGCAACGCAGCGUGAGUGAUGAAGGUCUUCGGAUCGUAAAACGCUGUUAUUAGGGAAGAACAAACGUGUAAGUAACUGUGCACGUCUUGACGGUACCUAAUCAGAAAGCCACGGCUAACUACGUG
rnacentral:rRNA from 1 species